AUUGAACGCUGGCGGCAGGCUUAACACAUGCAAGUCGAGCGAGCGGCGGACGGGUGAGUAAUGUCUGGGAAACUGCCUGAUGGAGGGGGAUAACUACUGGAAACGGUAGCUAAUACCGCAUACUAUCAGAUGAGCCCAGAUGGGAUUAGCUAGUAGGUGGGGUAAUGGCUCACCUAGGCGACGAUCCCUAGCUGGUCUGAGAGGAUGACCAGCCACACUGGGACUGAGACACGGGCCAGACUCCUACGGGAGGCAGCAGUGGGGAAUAGUGCACAAUGGGCGCAAGCCUGAUGCAGCCAUGCCGCGUGUAUGAAGAAGGCCUUAGGGUUGUAAAGCACUUUCAGCGAGGAGGCGUUACUCGCAGAAGAAGCACCGGCUAACUCCGUGCCAGCAGCCGCGGUAAUUC
rnacentral:rRNA from 1 species